AGUGAACGCUGGCGGUAGGCCUAACACAUGCAAGUCGAACGGCAGCACAGUAAGAGCUUGCUCUUACGGGUGGCGAGUGGCGGACGGGUGAGGAAUACAUCGGAAUCUACUUUUUCGUGGGGGAUAACGUAGGGAAACUUACGCUAAUACCGCAUACGACCUACGGGUGAAAGCAGUGGAUCUUCGGACCUUUCGCGAUUGAAUGAGCCGAUGUCGGAUUAGCUAGUUGGCGGGGUAAAGGCCCACCAAGGCGACGAUACGUAGCUGGUCUGAGAGGAUGAUCAGCCACACUGGAACUGAGACACGGUCCAGACUCCUACGGGAGGCAGCAGUGGGGAAUAUUGGACAAUGGGCGCAAGCCUGAUCCAGCCAUACCGCGUGGGUGAAGAAGGCCUUCGGGUUGUAAAGCCCUUUUGUUGGGAAAGAAAAGCAGCAGGUUAAUACCCCGCUGUUCUGACGGUACCCAAAGAAUAAGCACCGGCUAACUUCGUG
rnacentral:rRNA from 1 species